rnacentral:rRNA from 1 species
AGAGUUUGAUCAUGGCUCAGAACGUACGCUGGCGGCACGCCUAACACAUGCAAGUCGAACGAAGUAGCAAUACUUAGUGGCAGACGGGUGAGUAACAUGUAGGUAUCUACCCUAUGGCCUGGAAUAACACGAGGAAACUUGUGCUAAUACCAGAUAAGUCUUUACGGAGAAAGCUUUAUGCACCAUUGGAUGAGCCUGCACUUGAUUAGUUUGUUGGUGGGGUAAUAGCCUACCAAGACUGUGAUCAAUAGCUGAUUUGAGAGGAUGAUCAGCCACAUUGGGACUGAGACACGGCCCAAACUCCUACGGGAGGCAGCAGUGGGGAAUCUUGCACAAUGGAGGAAACUCUGAUGCAGCGAUGCCGCGUGAGUGAAGAAGGCCUUUGGGUUGUAAAGCUCUUUCGUCGGGGAAGAAAAUGACUGUACCCGAAUAAGAAGGUCCGGCUAACUUCGUGCCAGCAGCCGCGGUAAUACGAAGGGACCUAGCGUAGUUCGGAAUUACUGGGCUUAAAGAGUUCGUAGGUUGUUGAAAAAGUUGGUGGUGAAAUCCCAGAGCUUAACUCUGGAACUGCCAUCAAAACUUUUCAGCUAGAGUAUGAUAGAGGAAAGCAGAAUUUCUAGUGUAGAGGUGAAAUUCGUAGAUAUUAGAAAGAAUACCAAUUGCGAAGGCAGCUUUCUGGAUCAUUACUGACACUGAGGAACGAAAGCAUGGGUAGCGAAGAGGAUUAGAUACCCUCGUAGUCCAUGCCGUAAACGAUGUGUGUUAGACGUUGGAAAUUUAUUUUCAGUGUCGCAGUGAAAACGAUAAACACACCGCCUGGGGAGUACGACCGCAAGGUUAAAACUCAAAUGAAUUGACGGGGACCCGCACAAGUAGUGGAGCAUGUGG